rnacentral:rRNA from 1 species
ACGAGUGAGAAUGCAGGCAUGAGUAGCGAAAGACGGGUGAGAAACCCGUCCUCCGAAUGAUCAAGGGUUCCAGGGCCAGGUUUAUCCGCCCUGGGUUAGUCGGGACCUAAGGCGAGGCCGACAGGCGUAGUCGAUGGACAUCGGGUUGAUAUUCCCGAACCGAUCGUAGGAGGACCCAUACCGAGGCAGUCGAUGCUAACCACCCGAGUUUUCCCCAUGCCCUUCGGGGUGUGGAGGUUGACGAGGCUGGGAACCAAGGUUGUAGUAGGUCAGCGCGAGGAAUGACGCAGAGAGGUAGCUUCCGCGGACUUAAUGGAAUAGUCCGUCUAAGCGUGCAGCCCGGCCCCGGGUAAUGCUGGGGCCAUAUAAGGGUCAGACGUGAUGGGGAUCCCGUAUGGGCGUAGGUGAGUGAUCCUGUACUGCCAAGAAAAGUUCCGGCGUGACGAAUACGGUCGCCCGUACCCUAAACCGACUCAGGUGAUCAGGUAGAGAAUACCGAGGCGUUCGAGAGAAUCGUGGUUAAGGAACUCGGCAAAAUGCCCCCGUAACUUCGGGAGAAGGGGGGCCCAAGGAGUGAGAGCUCCGAGGGCCGCAGAGACCAGGGAGAAGCGACUGUUUACUAAAAACACAGGUCCGUGCGAAGUCGCAAGACGAUGUAUACGGACUGACUCCUGCCCGGUGCUGGAAGGUUAAGAGGACCGGUUAGCCGUAAGGCGAAGCUGAGAAUUUAAGCCCCAGUAAACGGCGGUGGUAACUAUAACCAUCCUAAGGUAGCGAAAUUCCUUGUCGGGUAAGUUCCGACCUGCACGAAUGGCGUAACGACUUCUCCACUGUCUCAACCGCGAACUCGGCGAAAUUGCAUUACGAGUAAAGAUGCUCGUUACGCGCAGCAGGACGGAAAGACCCCGGGACCUUUACUAUAGUUUGGUAUUGGUGUUCGGGGCGGCUUGUGUAGGAUAGGUGGGAGACUGGGAAGCAUUCACGCCAGUGAGUGUGGAGUCAUUGUUGAAAUACCACUCUGGUCGUUCUGGAUUCCUAACCUCGGUCCGUGAUCCGGAUCAGGGACAGUGCCUGAUGGGUAGUUUAACUGGGGCGGUUGCCUCCUAAAGAGUAACGGAGGCGCCCAAAGGUUCCCUCAGCCUGGUUGGCAAUCAGGUGUCGAGUGUAAGUGCACAAGGGAGCUUGACUGCGAGACUGACAAGUCGGGCAGGUGCGAAAGCAGGAACUAGUGAUCCGGCACCUCAUUGUGGAAUGGGUGUCGCUCAACGGAUAAAAGGUACCCCGGGGAUAACAGGCUGAUCUUGCCCAAGAGCUCAUAUCGACGGCAUGGUUUGGCACCUCGAUGUCGGCUCGUCGCAUCCUGGGGCU